GGUUGGUUAACUCAGUUGGUUAGAAUGUGGUGCUGAUAACACCAAGGUCGCGGGUUCGAUCCCCAUUCGGCCA
rnacentral:tRNA from 1 species